CACGGAUCGAUCGAGAAACCUCGACGACGUCGUCGCCCUCGGCUACCCGGAUCUCGGUGCCCCCGCCUGGAUCUGGAAGCAGGCUCCACGACGACGACGGGCGCCCGCCGUUCUCUGCCCACGGCCUCCACCGGCUUCCCUUCCGCCGUCGCCGCCUCGAGCUCGUCCCACCCCCCUCCCGCCGGCCCUUGCCGAUCUGCUCCACCCAAGCCGCCGCGACGCCGCUCCGCCAACCUCGUGGGGCGCUCGGUUCUCAGCCACCGGCCCCCGUCGCCCUGCAACCCCCUCCCCGUCGUCGACAUGGUGGCCGCCUCCAUGGCUCCCCAACGGUGGUCGGUGGUGGCGAUGGCGGUCAAGGCCGCUGGCUCGGUGAGGUCUGGCCCUCACCUAAGGCUUCUUGCUUGGACAUCUCUGGUUGCAAGGAUCUCUUUCGGCACGACUAUCAAGUUGCCAGGUAAGAGCAACCCGUUUUACCUUGCUAGGAGUACAAACUUGGUUGCACAGCUGAAGAAUAGCAUGAUCCCUCUCUUGAUGGGGAUCGCUUGUGCACGAGCUAGCUGCCGCCAACCGUCAUUGGCCUUCUCCAUCGAUUUCUACCUGUAGCUAAUCUGCUGUGGCUGCCAACAAGUCCUGCCCAUCAGAACUUCUAAGGUUGCCGGUGCAGGCUUCAUCAUCGGCUACUAUUUGUCCUCUGCCGAUGCAAUAGGAAUAGCGAGUCUACUUUUGUUAAUUGUAGAAUCAAUGUAUCUGUGUCCCUGAAUCUUUGUAAACAUGUCUGUAGUUUUUUACUAGACAAAAAUGUGGUUGUAAUUUAUUUUGGCUAUAUCGAUUUGUUGGUAAAUAUUUUACUCUAAUAGUCAGGGACUAACUUAUUUCAAUGAGAGAAGAUUGUAGUAAAUUUUGUGGGUAGAGCAGUCUAGGAGAAAUUUAUUUUCUAAGAGAAUACCAGAGUCAAUCUUGUUGGUGUGGCGAGAUUAAAACUAAUCUAUUUAUUUGGAAAAGGCAGG
rnacentral:lncRNA from 1 species